rnacentral:tRNA from 1 species
GGAGAGAUGGCGUAAAGGAGGCGCGCCCCGACGAAAGGGGUGGCGGGAAAUGCUAAAUCGGCGGAAUAAAAACUGUCGGAGAAAUACCCGUCACGCAGGUUCGAUUCCUGCGCUCUCCACCA